AGCAGAAGCAACGCACCAGGGAGGAGAAAAGAAGGGUCCGAACCCUUACGGUAAACUUCUGAACGCCGUAACUCCUCUAUCCGAGCUCCGAUCGCCGUACCGUUUGCGACCACGCGACCACCGCGUCGAGCACUACACUUCUACCGGAAUAAUUUUAUAGGAUCCAAUUAGCUUGAGGAAAACGUUCACUCUUACUUAUGUGAAGUUUGGGUAAGGUUGUGAAUAAAUAAUUGGAGCUUGAAAUUGUGGAUAUUGAAACUUGGAGGAAGCUAAACACUAGAGUUUUGUUGAGGUUUUGGGGUUGUGUUGGUUUUAAUAAAUUGCCUUGAUCAUUACACGGAAUCGGCCAAGGUAUGGUUUUGGUUUCUCAUAGAUAAUAUAUAAUGUUUUGAUGAAAACAUAGGCUAGAUGACCAUAGGAUAGGUUGAAAAUGUGGGAAUGUGUUAAUGCUAAUAACCUUGAUGGAAAUGUGGAAUUAUAUUGUGAAUGAGUUGAUGAAUAAUGAUUUGUUGAGUUGGUCGUAGGAAUUGUGUUAAUUAAUGUUGUUGAUGGGAAUUGAUGAAUGAUUAUUGAUGAUGAAAGAUUGAGGAUUGGUUGAGUUAUUUAUAUAUGUGUGUUUGUUGAGUAAUGAAUGAAUUGAGAGUUGGAAAUGAAUUUGAUAUUGGAAUUGGUUUGGUUUAUUAGAAAUAAUUUGAAAAGGGUUUGAAAGGUAGUUUGGUUGGGACCUGAGUAGGGUGGCAAAGUCCGAAUUUUAAAGGAAAUGUUGUCAAAAUUUUUAUAAAAAUUAGAGAUUUAGUUUGAAGUAUUAUUUAGACAAAUAUGGAUAAAAGAAUUAUAUUGUUUGGCUUUUAUUUAUAAAGAAAAGAAAUGCAUUAUGUUUUGGAACUUGAUUUAUUAAGAAAAGUAUUAUGUUUUGAGUCUUACUUAGUUAAGAAGAGAAUUAUGUUUUGAGUAUGAAUUAUUGAUGAACGGAAUGGGAGGUGUGAUUAUGAUAAUUGUUGAAUGAAUUGAAUGAUGAAGAGGAUGAAUUUGAUAUAAAAUUGUUUUGUGGGGAUCGUGGUUAUUUACCGCCCACGUAUGUGCUAUUUUCCAAUUGAAAACGUCUGUGGAGAUCGAGGUGGUUUACCGCCUACCAGGUGAGGAUCGUGGUACUGUACCGCUCACCAGUUUUCAAGAGGACGAUGUCCGGGUUAGCUACCGGACAUGUCGGAUUGGCUAUAUAACUGACAGAUGAGACUCAUCAGCCAUAGGGCAGACAUACAUCAUUUGCAUAUGUGUAUUUUGUUUGAUUGUGCAUUAAUUGAGCUUGCCUACGUGAUUAUUAUGCUUACCUGUUAUAUUUGCUAUCUGCUGUAUCUGUAUCCUACUUGGGUUUGCUUUGUCUAUAUUGCUUGUCUGUGCACCGGAGUUUUGGAGGAUUGGAGGAAGGCAGAAAUUAGGACUUAAGUUAGAAAGGAAUUAGAAGUAAGAACCUUAGAUAACCUACCCUAUUUAUGGUUUUCCAUUUAUAAACUUUAAGAUUUAAAUCUGAGUGUCGGAGUUUUAG